rnacentral:lncRNA from 1 species
GGAUGAACUACCUCAGCCCCGACCUCAAGUGCAGCAACUUUCACCGACGACGACUACGAGCUCACCAUCAAGCUCCAUGCCCUUCUCGGCAACAACAAAACAAAUUUCAAUGUGUUGUCAUCUGCUCCGGUGGAACAGCACAUCAAGCGCAAGCUCAUGAGCCAGGGCAUCGAUCCGCAGACGCAUCAGCAGGUUAGCGCCGGGACCAGCAUUGCCGCGGCAAGCGAGCUGACCACGACGACCAACACUGUCAGCUUCCCAUCCCUGCGUGGGCGCCGG